rnacentral:rRNA from 1 species
AGUGAACGCUGGCGGUAGGCUUAACACAUGCAAGUCGAACGGCAGCACAGUAAGAGCUUGCUCUUACGGGUGGCGAGUGGCGGACGGUUGAGGAAUACAUCGGAACCUACUUUUUCGUGGGGGAUAACGUAGGGAAACCUACGCUAAUACCGCAUACGACCUACGGGUGAAUGCAGGGGAUUUUCGGACCUUGCGCGACCGAAGGAGCCGGUGUCGGAUGAGCUAGUUGGCGGGGAAAAGGCCCACCAAGGCGACGAUCCGUAGCUGGUGUGAGAGGAUGAUCAGCCACCCUGGAACUGGGACACGGUCCAGACUCCUACGGGAGGCAGCAGUGGGGAAUAUUGGACAGUGGGCGCAAGCCUGAUCCAGCCAUACCGCGUGGGUGAAGAAGGCCUUCGGGUUGUAAAGCCCUUUUGUUGGGAAAGAAAAGCAGCAGGUUAAUACCCCGCUGUUCUGACGGUACCCAAAGAAUAAGCACCGGCUAACUUCGUG